rnacentral:tRNA from 1 species
GUUAUUUUGGCAGAUUAGUGUAAUGAAUUUAGAAUUCAUAAAUGUAAUUUUUUAC